rnacentral:lncRNA from 1 species
AAAUUCAUCCAUACUCUAGGCAUAAACUUUAACUAAACAUAAGAACAAGAUCCAAACUCGUAUUAUUGUUAAACAUGAACUUAAAUACAAAAGAGAAAGUGAUAGGAGAGAAGUCACCCUUGUCACAUGAGUUUCAAACUCUCCAUCUUUGCUCCUCAAUUUUCAUCCAAAUCUAACUACAAAUAUAAGAAGGAAAAACUACACUAACUAUACUAUACUACUCUAACUAAUGAACUAAGGAAAUUCUAGUGAAGACUACAUUUUUAGUAGAGUUUCUUUGGCCUUCCAAAGUUGUUUAAAAUGUUCUCCAAAGGCCUCUAUUUAUACAGGAUUCAAGAACCAAAUGAAUUGUUUCUAGUUAUCAUUUUUGACUCUUGAAACUCCCAUGAGUUGUCUUUCUAACUUUCCACACUUUUCUUGAUCAGAUACAACCGAAAUUGAUAGUUGAAAUUGAGUUGGAAAAGUUGUGUGAAAGCAGGGCAAGUUGAUGAGCAAGUUGCAGAAAACAGAAGAGAAUACGCGACUUCAGCUCGCGUAUUGACAGCUCGCGUUUUCACUUCUGGGCAUUUUGGCACUAAUGUAGCUGCUAUUUUUUCAAUGAUGAAGGCCGAACUAACUCUUGUGUAAAGCAUGAAAAUUGUAUCCCUUUGAGUUAGAUUUCCAAUACUUUAAGAAUCAUCCAAUUUGGAUCUCUGUGGACUGAGAAAUGACCAAAAUACCCUUGAAUGGUCAGAACUCUGUCUCAACUUUCAACCAUGCACACGCACUUCUGUAUUUCGACUUUUUGACAAGUAAGACAACUGAACUGGAUUUUGAUGUCUCAUACCAAAUGUAGAUCUAUCUCUGAACUUCAAAAUGGUAUAAUAAUCACCUUAAUCCGAUGCUUGUAACUCAAGAUAUAGCCGAAAUAUCACAAGGUGUCAAAACUGUGCAACUUUUCUUCCUUUCCUUCUUGAUUGCAUUUCCUCUUUUGCACUUCAUAUUCUCUUUUUAUCAUUUCAUACCAUCAUCAGUCAUCCAAUUAUUUUCUUAAAUCACUCCAUUUGAUGAUUGAAUCUUUAAACCUACAAAAACAUGAAGUUUACACUAUUAAAAUCCAUAGAAAUGCAAUUUUUACCACUUUAACCACAAAAUGCAUUUUUUUCACUAAAAUCCUAGUUAAUUAGUUAUAAAAGUGACUAAAACAUACCAAAACUAACUAAUAAAAUAUACUAAAAACACGUAAAAUAUACACUUAUCAAACUCCCCCAUACUUAAAUCAUUGCUUGUCCUCGAGCAAUAAGAAAUACAAACUAACAAUGAUCCAAAAUUUUGAAAAUAAACAUAUAUGCACCAUUCAACUUCAUUUCCUCAAAACAAGGUAAAUAACCAUUAUGCAAUCAUUCAAUUAAGUCCAAGUACUCAUAAUAUCAAGUAAAGGAGAGCAAAUUAUACCACAAUUAUAACAAGUUCAAAUCAAUUUAUCACCCUUACCCAAUUUUUCAAGCAAGUAACUCAUAUGGUCAAUGAAAAUGUUAGCUAAGCCCAUGAUUAUCUUCUUCUCAAAUUCAACGAGGGAUUUUAUUCAUAUAACAUAACUAAAUAUAUACUUAAGUUGUGAAAGUGCCUCUUGAUGUGAAGAUGGACAUUUUUAGAUGAAAAUCACCGGUUACUCAAUACUUCACAUACUCAAAUUGCAUUUCAUACUUUUAAUUCUAAUAUCAUUUUACGUGAAAGUUGACAUUUGUAGAUAAAAACUCCCGAUUACUAAGUACAAGAAUCAUUGGAGUAGAACCACUUUUAUUCUUUUUUUUUCCAUUUUUUUUAUUUU